GGAAUAUAGCUCAGCUGGUAGAGUGCUUGGCUCAUAUGCAAAAGGCCCUGGGUUCGAUCCCCAGCACCA
rnacentral:tRNA from 1 species